rnacentral:rRNA from 1 species
UGGGGAAUAUUGCACAAUGGGCGCAAGCCUGAUGCAGCCAUGCCGCGUGUAUGAAGAAGGCCUUCGGGUUGUAAAGUACUUUCAGUCGGGAGGAAGGUGGUAAGGUUAAUAACCUUGGCAAUUGACGUUACCGACAGAAGAAGCACCGGCUAACUCCGUGCCAGCAGCCGCGGUAAUACGGAGGGUGCAAGCGUUAAUCGGAAUUACUGGGCGUAAAGCGCACGCAGGCGGUUGAUUGAGUCAGAUGUGAAAUACCCGGGCUUAACCCGAGAAUUAAAGCUGAUACUGGUGAGCUAGAGUCUUGUAGAGGGGGGUAGAAGUCCAUGUGUAGCGGUGAAAUACGUAGAGAUGUGGAGAAGUACCAGUGGCGAAGGCGGCCCCCUGGACAAAGACUGACGCUCAGGUGCGAAAGCGUGGGGAGCAAACAAG